rnacentral:misc_RNA from 1 species
GAAAUGCGAUAAGUAAUGUGAAUUGCAGAAUUCAGCGAAUCAUCGAAUUUUUGAACGCACAUUGCGCCUAAGAGUAUUCUUUUAGGCAUAUCUGUUCGAGCGUCGUUUAACUUGUGAAGCAUUAUGCUUGGUGUUGAUUUUUUGGAGAGCUUGGUUAAACAAGCGAUUCAAGAAUCUAAAUGCUUUGGCAGUUGAUAUAGGCCGAUGUACAACAAACUGUAUUGAGACCGAUAGAAGACUUUUGCCAUAUUCGAAUUUUAAACUACGUCCGACCUCGGAUCAGAUAAGAUUACCCACUGAACUUAA